rnacentral:rRNA from 1 species
CCUACGGGUGACAGCAGUAAGGAAUAUUGGUCAAUGGACGAGAGUCUGAACCAGCCAAGUAGCGUGAAGGAUGACUGCCCUAUGGGUCGUAACUUUCUUUUAUAUGGGAAUAAAAUGUUCCACGUGUGGGAUUUUGUAUGUAUCAUUUGAUUAAGGAUCGGCUAAUUCCGUGCCAGCAGCCGCGGUAAUACGGAGGCUCCGAGCGUUAUCCGGAUUUAUUGGGUUUAAAGGGAGCGUAGAUGGAUUGUAAAGUCAGUUGUGAAAGUUUGCGGCUCAACCGUAAAAUUGCAGUUGAAACUGGCAGUCUUGAGUACAGUAGAGGUGGGCGGAAUUCGUGGUGUAGCGGUGAAAUGCUUAGAUAUCACGAAGAACUCCGAUUGCGAAGGCAGUUCACUAGACUGCAACUGACACUGAUGCUCGAAAGUGUGGGUAUCAAACAGGAUUAGAUACCCGUGUAGUC